rnacentral:rRNA from 1 species
AGAGUUUGAUUCUGGCUCAGGACGAACGCUGGCGGCGUGCUUAACACAUGCAAGUCGAACGAGAAUCUACUGAAAGAGUUUUCGGACAAUGGAAGUAGAGGAAAGUGGCGGACGGGUGAGUAACGCGUGAGGAACCUGCCUUGAAGAGGGGGACAACAGUUGGAAACGACUGCUAAUACCGCAUGACGCAUAGAGGUCGCAUGAUCUUUAUGCCAAAGAUUUAUCGCUUCAAGAUGGCCUCGCGUCUGAUUAGCUAGUUGGCGGGGUAACGGCCCACCAAGGCGACGAUCAGUAGCCGGACUGAGAGGUUGUACGGCCACAUUGGGACUGAGAUACGGCCCAGACUCCUACGGGAGGCAGCAGUGGGGAAUAUUGGGCAAUGGGCGCAAGCCUGACCCAGCAACGCCGCGUGAAGGAAGAAGGCUUUCGGGUUGUAAACUUCUUUUAAGAGGGAAGAGCAGAAGACGGUACCUCUAGAAUAAGCCACGGCUAACUACGUGCCAGCAGCCGCGGUAAUACGUAGGUGGCAAGCGUUGUCCGGAUUUACUGGGUGUAAAGGGCGUGCAGCCGGGUCUGCAAGUCAGAUGUGAAAUCCAUGGGCUCAACCCAUGAACUGCAUUUGAAACUGUAGAUCUUGAGUGUCGGAGGGGCAAUCGGAAUUCCUAGUGUAGCGGUGAAAUGCGUAGAUAUUAGGAGGAACACCAGUGGCGAAGGCGGAUUGCUGGACGAUAACUGACGGUGAGGCGCGAAAGUGUGGGGAGCAAACAGGAUUAGAUACCCUGGUAGUCCACACUGUAAA